rnacentral:rRNA from 1 species
UGGGGAAUAUUGGACAAUGGGCGAAAGCCUGAUCCAGCCAUGCCGCGUGUGUGAAGAAGGUCUUCGGAUUGUAAAGCACUUUAAGUUGGGAGGAAGGGCAGUAAGCGAAUACCUUGCUGUUUUGACGUUACCGACAGAAUAAGCACCGGCUAACUCUGUGCCAGCAGCCGCGGUAAUACAGAGGGUGCAAGCGUUAAUCGGAAUUACUGGGCGUAAAGCGCGCGUAGGUGGUUCGUUAAGUUGAAUGUGAAAGCCCCGGGCUCAACCUGGGAACAGCAUCCAAAACUGUCGAGCUAGAGUAGGGCAGAGGGUGGUGGAAUUUCCUGUGUAGCGGUGAAAUGCGUAGAUAUAGGAAGGAACACCAGUGGCGAAGGCGACCACCUGGGCUCAUACUGACACUGAGGUGCGAAAGCGUGGGGAGCAAACAGG